rnacentral:lncRNA from 1 species
CCCAAGUAAAAGCAGAGAACAACAACAAAUAGGAUUCCAUAAUUCCGUUCCUCAAGCCCCAUUCUAAGUUUUCCCAUGCAACUUGAAGGGCAGGAUAAAGGGCAGAUCGAACCACCGACCACCAACCCUUUAACCUACCAAAAAAAAAACAAAUAUCAAAAUAGACCACAGCACCGAAACCCAAACUUGACACCCUCUCACAGAAGGCGCGGGCCCUAUUGUCUGUCCUCCACAUACCGAGUGCGCGUCGGCAUUCACAUCCCCAAUCUCUGCUCCUCUUCCUGCCUCUCACCAAUCAGAUCUCUCCACGUAGCCCUACUCUGCCCCAGUCCACGUGCCCGUUGCCAGCCACGGAUCUAUAACGCCCGACGCCGUCAACCUCCUCCGUCAAACUCGAAGCACCCAACUGGAACGAAAUUUAGAAUUAUUUAUUAUAAAAAAUCAAAUAAAAGCAAUAUAUAUUAUUAAUAAAUAAAUCAGCCAUCAAAACGCCCGUCAAGAGCGUAUCGCCGGUCGGCAGAAACCCUCGCCCUCGUCGCCCCUCUCCAAAGGAAAAGAAAAAAAAUCCCACUUUUCCCCUUCCCACCGCCUCCCCUUUCCCAUGGACGACGACGACGACGCCCGCUCCGAUUCCCAGUCCAAAUCGCUGUCGCAGUCCCAAUCCGAAUCCCCGCCGCCCUCGCCGCCCACGCACCCCAUCUCUGUAGUGGCGCCCUCCUCUGCCGCCGCCCCCAGCUCCCACCCCAACGGUCGCGCCGCCGUCGAGCCCGUCACCGUCGCCGCCCCGCCCCAGCACACCCUAACCCUGGCCCUCCCCAUCCAGCGACCCUCCGGCGGCGGCGGCGGCGGCGGCGGGGGCGGCCGCGAGGAUUGCUGGAGCGAGGGCGCCACCUCGACCCUGAUCGACGCGUGGGGGGAGCGGUACCUGGAGCUCAGUCGGGGGAACCUGAAGCAGAAGCACUGGCAGGAGGUGGCCGAUGCCGUC